rnacentral:rRNA from 1 species
CAGCAGCCGCGGUAAUGCGAAGGGUGCAAGCGUUAAUCGGAAUUACUGGGCGUAAAGCGUGCGUAGGCGGUGAGUUAAGUCUGCUGUGAAAUCCCCGGGCUCAACCUGGGAAUGGCAGUGGAUACUGGGUCACUAGAGUGUGGUAGAGGAUAGUGGAAUUUCCGGUGUAGCAGUGAAAUGCGUAGAGAUCGGAAGGAACAUCUGUGGCGAAGGCGACUAUCUGGGCCAACACUGACACUGAGGCACGAAAGCGUGGGGAGCAAACAGGAUUAGAUACCCGAGUAGUCCCUGUCUCUUAUAC